rnacentral:lncRNA from 1 species
UGAAGAGUAUGAGUCAGAGUUGCAGAAUCUGAAUGCUAAUUCUUGUCACAAGCAACAGUAUUCACCGGAUGAAAUAGUUGAAGAUAUUGGAAAGCAAUGCAUUGAAAAUAUGGAUCCUGCAUCUUCUGAAGAAAAUGGUGUAGCUGCAUUAAGUGUAACACCAAAAGAACACAAAUUAGAAUUCUUCUCUGAAGAAAAUGAUAUGAUUGACGAUGUUUUAUCUAGUGUGGCAAGAUUUUUCAAUUCUGAAAACACAUCUUCACUAGUUAAAGAAACAAUUCAUCAUGUAACCAAUUUUCAACAAAUCAAUACUGUUGAAGAAGUUGCUGCUGUUGAUUCGUUAUCGGAUGAAGAAAAGGAAAAUAAAUGUGACGUGGAGUUCAAGGCAUACCUCAAUAUCAAACCUUGUGAUGAAGAAGGUAACUCACUGGUUGAAACAGUUGAAGAAACUGUGAAAUCCUUUCAGACAGAGUCAGUUAAUCCUUUAUCCGUAAACACAUAUUCACUAGUUGAAGAUUCAAUUCCUGUAACCAAUUUUCAACUAAUCAAUAUUGUUGACGAAGUUGCUACUGUUGAUUCGUUAUCGGAUGAAGAAAAGGAAAAUGAAUGUGAUGAGGAGUUCAAGGCAUACCUCUAUGUCAAACCUUGUGAUGAAGGUAGCUCACUGGAUGAAACAGUUGAAGAAACUGUGAAAUCCUUCCAGACAGAGUCACUUAAUCCUUCAUCCGGAAACACAUCUUCACUAGUUGAAGAAGCGAUUCCUGUAACCAAUUUUCAACUAAUCAAUAUUGUUGAAGAAGUUGCUACUGUCGAUUCGUUAUCAAAUGAAGAAAAGGAAAAUGAAUGUGAUGAGGAGUUCAAGGCAUACCUCUAUGUCAAACCUUGUGAUGAAGAAGGUAACUCACUAGAUGAAACAGUUGAAGAAACUGUGAAAUCCUUUCAGACAGAGUCACUUAAUCCUUCAGUGACUCAGGAAACUGAUUUAGAGAUUACAGAGAAGAAAGAGAAUCAAAC